AGGGGAACCUGCUACAAGCUAGCCGACGACGACUGAAGUUUUGCUCUGGUUUCGUAUUGAUCCAAUCGGGUUAGCCCUAGAAGAGGAAGUUGUCUUCUUGAUUGUUUGAUGAUGGGUAUCACUUCUUCUGACGAUUCUUUAACAUUUUCUUCAUCUUGUGCUGCUACGAGUGUUGGUGAGAAGAGAAAGAGGAACGAAUAUGGUGCAAGUAGUAGCAAUCCUGGAAAUGGCGGUAUUUUACAUAACAAUAGAGAUGCAGGCAGGGGAGCAGAGUCGGCACAACCAAAGAUUUCUGACUCUGUUGGUGGGCCAAAGUUUAACGACUUUAGUAAGCUGCGGGAAGAAGUGAACUUUGCUGUUGGUCAGACCUGGGCUCUUUAUGACACAACGGAUGGGAUGCCUAGACUGUAUGCUCAGAUCAGGAAAGUUUCAGCUCCUUCCUUUGGGCUUAGGAUCACAUAUCUUGAGCCAGAUCCAGAUGAUGAGAAAGAGAUACUAUGGUUUGAGCAAGACUUGCCUGUUUCUGUUGGUAAGUUCAGGUUUGGGAAAAGUCAGAACACAAAAGAUCGUUCCAGAUUCUCUCAUCUUAUCCACUGCAAUGGAGGAAGCAACACUGAUCAUUUCACUGUUUUCCCAAGAAAAGGCGAGACUUGGGCUUUGUUCAAGAACUGGGACAUUAACUGGUCUUCAGAGCCAGAUUCUCACCGCAAAUAUGAGUAUGACUUUGUUGAGAUUUUGUCAGAUUACGCUGAUGGAGCUGGUGUAUCUGUUGCGUUCUUGCAUAAAGCAAAAGGGUUUGCAAGUGUGUUCUUUCAAAAGGGAACUGGGGAUGCAGACAUAUCUCAGAUUCUGCCUCACAGUUUGUACCGGUUCUCCCAUAGAAUGCCUUCCUUUAAACUGACUGGAGCUGAAGGACAAGGUGUGCCAAAAAACGCUUACGAGCUGGACCAAGCUGUAUUACCCAAACCAGAAGCUCUCUGCUUUCGUAGUGGGGGAAAGGUUUUUCAAACUGGUCAGAUCUGGUCAUAUUACAGUUAUUACUGGAACUUUGCUGUGUAUUAUGGUAGGAUUCAUAAGAUCACUUUUACUCAGGCAUUCGGGAAGGCAGCAGAAUUUAAGUUACACCUAACUCGGUUAAAUCCUACUCCUUUCUCUAAGGAUGUGAUCAAGUAUAAAGACAAGUAUAUGCCUGUUGGUUGUGGAACAUUCUUUGUGAGGAAAGGUAUCGAUGUCAUCGAUCCUGAUAUUGUUUCACGUCAGAUAGUGCCUGAAACCUCUAUGGAUGGAAAGGAAUAUACCAUUCUUCCCAAGAUUGGCGAUGUUUGGGCCAUAUACACAUACUGGUCCGAAAACAUUGAUGCUGUGGCCUUGGAAAAAUGGUUUGAGUAUGACAUUGUGGAAGUUCUUGAUGACGCUUUGGGCUAUAAAGUUUUGGCGUUGUCGCCCGCAUCAUUUGGUAAUGAAAAUGAAGGAGAGAAACAUUUCUUGCGAGCAGCUGAGCAUAGGCAACGUGAUUGGGAGAAUGAGUCAGAAUUGAUAUUCACAAUCCCCAAGUCAAAAAUUCUAAGAUUCUCGCAUCAGAUUCCUGUUACCCGAGUAACCAAGGAGAUAGACGGAGAUUUGAAAGAGCUUUUUGAAGUCCUUGAUUCUAAAGCAUUACCUUCAAUGACAUAGCCCAAAGGGGAAGAAGUGAGGGGAAGGAUUACUUUUUGUUAGCUUCUGGUGCGUUAUGUCAAAAGGAACCUUAGAAGAGGAAGUUGCCUUCUUUGAGUGCAUUCGUCCCUUUGUUUGAUGAUGGAUCAUGUCAAUUCUUCUAACGGUGCUUCAUCUUGUGCUGAUAAUUUUCUCUCCCCUGGUUUGAGUCCUGCUAUGAGUGUUGUUGGUGAUAAGAGAGAGGGGAAGGAGUGUAGUGGCGAAAGUAGCAACAACACUAGUGUUAUACAUAAUGGGCAAUUGAGCAGGAGGCAGGAGGCAGCAUGUAAGCUACACGUAAGUGAGUUAAAGUCUACUCCU